UCAUUAUUAAUAAACUCGAAUUUUACCUCCAAUUUCUCGGACCACUUUUUGGGGGCAUAGGCAUCAAUCUCCUCAUAUAGAAUUGGGGCACAGUUGUAAUUGUAUUCACCCAAUUCCAAAAACUCAACAUCUUCAAGUUCUUCAUCAUAAACCAAUGAGCUAUCAUAAUGUAAAUCCAGAAAUUCUUCAUUCUUCUUCGGAAAUUGUUGCGCAAUCAUAAUUGUCACCUCCUUCUACAUUAUAAUUCUUUCAAUUGGAUGUCACAAAUAAUACGUUGCCUCCUUGCCAGACUAGCUAGGUACAUGCUCAUACUCUCUGAUGCUCGAAUUCUUCGAAAUGGUUGGAGUAUCCGUAUCGGACACAACAUGACAUAAAUAUGGGUAUAUGAUAUGUGUCGGAUUCUUCAAGCUUCAAUCGUACACUUUGCCCUUUUUGCUUCUUCUUUCUUCUCCCUUCUUUUUUUUCCUUUUCUUUCCC
rnacentral:lncRNA from 1 species